rnacentral:rRNA from 1 species
UACGUAGGGGGCAAGCAUUGUCCGGAUUUAUUGGGCGUAAAGCGCUCGCAGGUGGUUCGAUGCGUCGUGCGUGAAAGACCCCGGCUCAACUGGGGAGGGUCGUGCGAUACGGUCGAACUGGAGGCCAGUAGGGGGAUGCGGAAUUCCGGGUGUAGUGGUGGAAUGCGUAGAGAUCCGGAGGAACACCAGCGGCGAAGGCGGCAUCCUGGACUGGUCCUGACACUCAGGAGCGAAAGCGUGGGGAGCGAUCCGG